GGAAGGAAGGAAGAAAGAGUCAAAAACAUGACUCCCGAGUCUAUAUGAACUAUGUGUUAGAAAAUUAAAACAUGUCUAAGAUCAAAGUUCAACCAUCAAAGAUCAAGUUAACAUGGAAAACAGCUACUUGGGAUUGGUACCCUUUUGCGGGGGGAAAAGCCACGCUUGAUUUCUGUCUUUGUCGCCGUCUCUUUUUACAUAGAUGAUUUGGGGUUCCGGGGAAAUAUGAAGUGAUCUAACCCAUUUUUUAAAAGCAGGGUGCCAACCAAAUGGCUGGAAAACGCAUACUUUGCUUCUCACCAGUCUCCCUCAAUCGUCUGAAAGAAAUCUGGCUGCAGUGCUGCUCAGUGUGUAGUGAAAGAAGAAACAGGACAGCCUUUUCCCAGUGAAAACAGGAUCCACAAAGGCUGUGAGAAACACAUCCGCUUUCCUCCCCGUUCACGCAUUUGGGGGAAGCUGCCAUUUUCAGUCACAAGGGCCGUGGAGGGGCAGAGUUAUGCUCACUGCUGCUGGAAACUGCGUCAUGUCCUCGCGUAUGUGGCAAGAGAAACAGACACGUCAGUUUUCGUCGUCAGCUUCUUAAAACAUUAUUUACCUGGCAGUGUUUUAACCAUGUAUUCCCUGUCACAUUUUAUAUUUGCUACCAAGCUUCUGUUUACAAGUUAAGAUACAUAUUGAAAAAUGACUCUCAAGAUGUUACAUCCAUGUUAAGAUGCGUUUGAAGUUUUUAAACAAGACUGGGUUUUGCAUAUACUAGCUAUGCGCAAAUGAAAUACAAUUUGCAAAGUAAAUUAAAGUUCAUAGAUACGAAA